rnacentral:rRNA from 1 species
UUCGCUCGGGCAGUUUGGGCUAUGGUCCAAGUAGCUUCGAAUUUAUACCCACCACGUAGUGCACGGAAUAUGUUUGGCAACUGGUUGCGGGGUAUUGAUAAACAAAUUUAUGCACAUAUUCUUGUGGGAGCGGCGGCCUUAUGCUGGGCAAUGUGGCUUACCAGGAAUGAUGUGGUUUUUAACAAUAAAUGUGUCUCAUCUCUUAUGCAGGUUAUUCAUAUUUGUACACGAUGGCUCCGUACUUAGUCUAUCCUGCAGAAGCCGGAGGCAGGGACCUUUUUAUGA